AACGCGAAGAACCUUACCUGGACUUGACAUGCUUUUGACCGCCGUAGAAAUAUGGUUUUCUCGCAAGAGACAAAAGAUACAGGUGCUGCAUGGCUGUCGUCAGCUCGUGCCGUGAGGUGUUGGGUUAAGUCCCGCAACGAGCGUAACCCUUGUCGUUAGUUGCCAUCACGUAAUGGUGGGCACUCUAGCGAGACUGCCUAGGUUAACUAGGAGGAAGGUGAGGAUGACGUCAAGUCCGCAUGGCCUUUAUGUCCAGGGCUACACACGUGCUACAAUGGUCGGUACAGAAGGAAGCAAAGUCGCGAGAUGGAGCAAAUCCCCAAAGCCGACCUCAGUUCGGAUUGGAGUCUGCAACUCGACUCCAUGAAGAUGGAAUUGCUAGUAAUGGCGGGUCAGCAACACCGCCGUGAAUCCGUUCCCGGGCCUUGUACACACCGCAUAC
rnacentral:rRNA from 1 species